UACAGAGGGGGCCAGCGUUAUUCGGAAUUACUGGGCGUAAAGGGCUCGUAGGCGGCCAACUAAGUCGGAUGUGAAAUCCCCAGGCUUAACCUGGGAACUGCAUCCGAUACUGGAUGGCUUGAAUCCGGGAGAGGGAUGCAGAAUUCCAGGUGUAGCGGUGAAAUGCGUAGAUAUCUGGAGGAAUACCGGUGGCGAAGGCGGCAUCCUGGACCGGCAUUGACGCUGAUGAGCGAAAGCUAGGGGAGCAAACGGG
rnacentral:rRNA from 1 species